rnacentral:tRNA from 1 species
GGGGAUGUAGCUCAUUUGGAAGAGUGUUUGCCUUGCAUGCACAAGGCCUUGGGUUCCAUACCCAGCACCA